UACGGAGGGUGCAAGCGUUAUCCGGAUUCACUGGGUUUAAAGGGUGCGUAGGCGGCUUAAUAAGUCAUUGGUGAAAGCUCGCAGCUCAACUGCGAAACUGCCAUUGAAACUGUUUAGCUUGAAUGUGGUUGAAGUGGGCGGAAUACAACAUGUAGCGGUGAAAUGCUUAGAUAUGUUUUAGAACACCGAUUGCGAGGGCAGCUCACUAAGCCAAUAUUGACGCUGAGGCACGAAAGCGUGGGUAGCAAACAGG
rnacentral:rRNA from 1 species